rnacentral:rRNA from 1 species
CAUAUCAAUAAGCGGAGGAAAAGAAACUAACAAGGAUUCCCCUAGUAACUGCGAGUGAAGCGGGAAAAGCUCAAAUUUAAAAUCUGUCAGUCUUUGGCUGUCCGAGUUGUAAUCUAGAGAAGUGUUAUCCGCGCUGGACCGUGUACAAGUCUCCUGGAAUGGAGCGUCAUAGAGGGUGAGAAUCCCGUCUCUGACACGGACUACCAGGGCUUUGUGAUGCGCUCUCAAAGAGUCGAGUUGUUUGGGAAUGCAGCUCAAAAUGGGUGGUAAAUUCCAUCUAAAGCUAAAUAUUGGCGAGAGACCGAUAGCGAACAAGUACCGUGAGGGAAAGAUGAAAAGAACUUUGGAAAGAGAGUUAAACAGUACGUGAAAUUGCUGAAAGGGAAACGCUUGAAGUCAGUCGCGUUGUCCAGGGAUCAACCUUGCUUUUGCUUGGUGUACUUUCUGGUUGACGGGUCAGCAUCAAUUUUGAUCAUUGGAAAAAGGUUAAGGGAAUGUGGCAUCUUUGGAUGUGUUAUAGCCCUUGAUUGUAUACAAUGGUUGGGAUUGAGGAACUCAGCACGCCGAAAGGCCGGGUUUUAACCACGUACGUGCUUAGGAUGCUGGCAUAAUGGCUUUAAUCGACCCGUCUUGAAACACGGACCAAGGAGUCUAACAUGCCUGCGAGUGUUUGGGUGGAAAACCCGAGCGCGUAAUGAAAGUGAAAGUUGAGAUCCCUGUCGUGGGGAGCAUCGACGCCCGGACCAGACCUUUUGUGACGGUUCCGCGGUAGAGCAUGUAUGUUGGGACCCGAAAGAUGGUGAACUAUGCCUGAAUAGGGUGAAGCCAGAGGAAACUCUGGUGGAGGCUCGUAGCGAUUCUGACGUGCAAAUCGAUCGUCAAAUUUGGGUAUAGGGGCGAAAGACUAAUCG